rnacentral:rRNA from 1 species
GGACUACCCGGGUUUCUAAUCCCGUUUGCUCCCCUGGCUUUCGUGUCUCAGCGUCAGCAAACCCCCAGCGAGCUGUUUUCACCAUUGGCGUUCCAAAUGAUAUCUACGCAUUUCACCGCUCCACCAUUUGUUCCGCUCGCCCCUAGGUUGCUCAAGACUUCCAGUAUACCAAGCAGUUCCACGGUUGAGCCGUGGGAUUUCACAAGGCACUUAGAAAUCCGCCUACACACGCUUUAAGCCCAGUGAUUCCGCCUAACGCUUGACACCUCUGUAUUACCGCGGCUGCUGGCAC